rnacentral:ncRNA from 2 species
AAGUGUCUUCAGGGCAGGGUGAGAUUCCCGACCGGCGGUGACAAAGACGAUCAUUUUUCAAUAGAACAGUGAAUCAAAGAUAAUAUUGAACUAUAUCAAGAUGAGCUAAUGAUCUAUUGAAGAAAAAGAGAUCUUUGAAGUCCGCGAGCGAAAGCUGAUGUGGUGAGAUUCCGCAACCGACAGUAAAGUCUGGAUGGGAGAAGACAAAG